GAGAGUUAAAUAGUACGUGAAAUUGUUGAAAGGGAAACGAUUGAAGUCAGUCAUGCCGGUGAGAAUCAACUUUGGGGAAGGGGGAUUUUUUUGAACCUAACCUUGAAGUGCACUUCUUCGCUUGGCAGGUUAGCGUCGAUUUUGAACGUCAUAAAAUGAUUGGGGGAAGGUAGCUCUUUCGGGAGUGUUAUAGCCCUUAAUUAAUAUGAUAUUUGGGAUCGAGGAUUGCAACGGAUACCUUUUUAGGCUAGCCGCCUGGCCUCUGAUUCGAUGUCGGGUUAUAGACAGCACGCUGACUAUGAUCUGAUUAUUGGUCAAAAGGUUAGAGCGAGCAUAAAUUCGUUAAGGACGCUGACGUAAUGGCUUUAAACGA
rnacentral:rRNA from 1 species